rnacentral:tRNA from 1 species
UUAAAUUACAGGUGGAAAUCCCGUACAUCUCA